GGUUAAGCGACUAAGCGUACACGGUGGAUGCCCUGGCAGUCAGAGGCGAUGAAGGACGUGCUAAUCUGCGAAAAGCGCCGGCGAGGUGAUAUGAACCUUUGACCCGGCGAUGUCCGAAUGGGGAAACCCAGUGUGUUCCGACACACUAUCGUUAACUGAAUACAUAGGUUAACGAGGCGAACCGGGGGAACUGAAACAUCUAAGUACCCCGAGGAAAAGAAAUCAACCGAGAUUCCCCCAGUAGCGGCGAGCGAACGGGGAGCAGCCCAGAGUCUGAAUCAGCUUGUGUGUUAGUGGAAGCGUCUGGAAAGUCGCACGGUACAGGGUGACAGUCCCGUACACGAAAGCACACAGGCUGUGAACUCGAAGAGUAGGGCGGGACACGUGGUAUCCUGUCUGAAUAUGGGGGGACCAUCCUCCAAGGCUAAAUACUCCUGACUGACCGAUAGUGAACCAGUACCGUGAGGGAAAGGCGAAAAGAACCCCGGCGAGGGGAGUGAAAAAGAACCUGAAACCGUGUACGUACAAGCAGUGGGAGCCUCUUUUAUGGGGUGACUGCGUACCUUUUGUAUAAUGGGUCAGCGACUUAUAUUCUGUAGCAAGGUUAACCGUAUAGGGGAGCCGAAGGGAAACCGAGUCUUAACUGGGCGUUAAGUUGCAGGGUAUAGACCCGAAACCCGGUGAUCUAGCCAUGGGCAGGUUGAAGGUUGGGUAACACUAACUGGAGGACCGAACCGACUAAUGUUGAAAAAUUAGCGGAUGACUUGUGGCUGGGGGUGAAAGGCCAAUCAAACCGGGAGAUAGCUGGUUCUCCCCGAAAGCUAUUUAGGUAGCGCCUCGUGAACUCAUCUUCGGGGGUAGAGCACUGUUUCGGCUAGGGGGCCAUCCCGGCUUACCAACCCGAUGCAAACUACGAAUACCGAAGAAUGUUAUCACGGGAGACACACGGCGGGUGCUAACGUCCGUCGUGAAGAGGGAAACAACCCAGACCGCCAGCUAAGGUCCCAAAGUCAUGGUUAAGUGGGAAACGAUGUGGGAAGGCACAGACAGCCAGGAUGUUGGCUUAGAAGCAGCCAUCAUUUAAAGAAAGCGUAAUAGCUCACUGGUCGAGUCGGCCUGCGCGGAAGAUGUAACGGGGCUAAACCAUGCACCGAAGCUGCGGCAGCGACGCUUAUGCGUUGUUGGGUAGGGGAGCGUUCUGUAAGCCGUUGAAGGUGUCCUGUGAGGGGUGCUGGAGGUAUCAGAAGUGCGAAUGCUGACAUAAGUAACGAUAAAGCGGGUGAAAAGCCCGCUCGCCGGAAGACCAAGGGUUCCUGUCCAACGUUAAUCGGGGCAGGGUGAGUCGACCCCUAAGGCGAGGCCGAAAGGCGUAGUCGAUGGGAAACAGGUUAAUAUUCCUGUACUUGGUGUUACUGCGAAGGGGGGACGGAGAAGGCUAUGUUAGCCGGGCGACGGUUGUCCCGGUUUAAGCAUGUAGGCGGA
rnacentral:rRNA from 1 species